rnacentral:rRNA from 1 species
UACGAAGGGGGCUAGCGUUGCUCGGAAUCACUGGGCGUAAAGCGCACGUAGGCGGCCUAUUAAGUCAGGGGUGAAAUCCCGGGGCUCAACCCCGGAACUGCCUUUGAUACUGGUAGUCUCGAGUCCGGAAGAGGUGAGUGGAAUUCCGAGUGUAGAGGUGAAAUUCGUAGAUAUUCGGAGGAACACCAGUGGCGAAGGCGGCUCACUGGUCCGGUACUGACGCUGAGGUGCGAAAGCGUGGGGAGCAAACAGG